UAUGUGAAAGUAGAAAAGGAAUGGAAGAUGGGCUGGCUCAGCAAGAAAAGCUACCUCUUGGAGGUCAAAAAGUGUAGGGACAAAGUGAGAACUGCCAAAAGCCAAGCAGAGUUGGACCUUGCAAAGGAAAGUAAAACCAAUAGUAAGAAGUCCUAUAGCCAUAUAGAUAAAAAGAAAACAAGGAAAGAAGUGGGGUGCUAAACACUGAG